rnacentral:lncRNA from 1 species
AAAAAACCUUAUAUUUAAGGACAAAUUUUGAAUGCUAGAAUGUCCUAUAUUACGGGACGGAGGGAGUAUAUAGCAACAGUGGGGGGCUUCCCUUGCUGUAUUUAAGGCUAAAAAAAAGGAACUUAGAAUCAUAGAAUGCCUUGAUCUCAAUGGCAUUGGAAGGCAUGACAUCUGUUAGAGCACCGAUCCGACAGUGGAAGGCACACAGGUUUUGGGCAGCAAUGAGGCAGCUUUUCCUCUCUAUAUAGCUGAUUACAUAGCUAUCUAAGGCAAUAAGCCAAUCACUAAACUAGGCAAUAGCCUAAUAAGGCAUGCUCGUGAUUGGGGGUUGCCAUCCCAACUCCCUGGGCCAUGCCGUGUACUAGAGCAAAAUAGGAAGGUACAAUAGGAAAGUACAGCUCACGACUUACUGCUAACAAUCUCCUCCUAAGACGUGAGUACCUACUCUAUAUUCUACAUGCCUAUCAUGCUUCGAAGCUCUUGAAACCGGAUGCGACCAAGUGCUUUUGUGAGAAUGUCACCUAGCUGCAACUCUGUUCCAACGAACUCAACAUGAAUCAGCUUUCUGUCGCGGCAUUCCCGGAUGAAGUGGAACUUUACAUCGAUGUGCUUGCUCCGGUCAUGAUGAACAAGAUUUUUCAUCAAAGCGAUGGCAGACUUGUUGUCCACCAGGAGUCUUGGUGCGAGGACGGCUCCUCCGACGAGCUCAGCUAGCAAACGUGCCAACCAAACCGCCUCGCACGCAGCAGCAGCAGCAAUGUACUCUGCUUUGCAUGAGGACAGAGCAACUACCUUCUGCUUCGCCGAUUGCCAAGCAACCGCCCCCCUGCAAGGAAGAAGAUGAGCCCACUUGUGCUCUUCCUGUCAUUCACGUUGCCGGCCAGAUCGCUGUCUGAAUAUCCCAGCAGCUCCGGCGCACCACAGUUCUUCUUUCCGGGGUAGUAAUGUAGUCCCUAGUGCAAUGUUCCUCCCACGUACCGGAGCACACGCUUUAUAGCAGUGAGGUGUUCUUGGCGUGGCGCCUCCAUGAAUCUGCUCAAGUACCCCACAGGAUAAGCCAGGUCCGGCCGGGAAUUGCACAAGUACCUGAGACUCCCAAUUGCGCUCAGGGCAGGAGAUGACGCCGAGGUCGCACUCGGGGCUGGGGAAGAGGCCGCGGGCGCAGCAGACGCAGUCUGUGAUCACGUCACCGGUGCUGGAGUCGGCUCUGUGGCGUGUCGCGUCCGCACCUCGUGGUCUUCUUCGAUGGAGAAGGGCAGACGGUCGUUCGCGCCCAGAUUUUCUUCCCAGUUCCACCGCGCAUCUUCAUCGAAGACGGCAUCGUGAAAGACGUAGACGCACGCGGCCUCAGGAUCAAAGAACCUGUACGCCUUGGUCCCGUCCUGUUAGCCGAUGAAGACGACUUUGGUGCCUCUGUCGUCGAGUUUGGCGAGGCGUGGGCACACUUGCUUGAUGUAGGCGACACACCCAAACACUUUGAGGAAGUGUACAGGAGGUUUCUUCCCGUACCAUGCCUGGUACGGGGUCUUCCCAUCGAGCACAACGGUGGGUGCCCUAUUGUUGUUGAGCAGGAACACAGCAGUAUGCACUGCCUCCCCCCAGAAGCACCCUAGUACACCGCGAGCUCGAAGGAUGCUCCUCGCCAUCGCCACCACGGUCUGGUUUCAACACUCUACAACGCCAUUCUGCUGCGGCGUAUAGGGAGCCGAAUGGUGGCGCUGAAUCCCCUCUCCUGCAUAAUACUCACCAAAUUCGACUGAGGCGAACUCACCGUCAUUGUCAGUCCGGAGUACCUUCAGUUUCUUGCCCGUCUCGCGCUCAACACGCGCCUGAAACGCCUGGAUGGCUGCUGGGGCAUCCGCCUUGGAACGCAGGAGGGUGAGCCACAUGAAGCGGCUCAUGUCGUCGACGAGUAGGAGGAAGUAGACGUUCCCAGCCAGCGUUGCCGGCGUGAUGGGGCCGCAGAGAUCUCCAUGGACCAGUUCUAGCUCCUCCUGAGCCCUGAAGUUUGCGGCCUUGGGGAACGACGUUCGCUUCUGCUUUGCCAGGACGCAGUCCUCACAGACCUGCUCGACAUGGUCUAUGGUGGGCAGUCCACGCACCAUGUCGGCGCGUCCCAGCUUGCGCAGCGCGUUGAAGUUGAGGUGACCGUAGCGUUCGUGCCAUCGCCACGCCAUGUCGCCAACCCGUGCGGUGAAACACACAGGGGCAGUCACCUUCAUGUUGAGGAAGUACAGUCGACUUGGCGAACGAUGCACCUUGGCCAGCAGCUGCCAGUCUAGGUCGAAGAGGCGGAGUAUGCCCGACUUGAUGUCAACCUUGAACCUAGUCUCGUCCAUCUGACUGAGACUGAUGAUGUUGGUGGUGAGGCGAGGGAUGUAGUAGACGCCGUCCAGCUAACGAUGUUCACUGGUCCUGCAGACGAACAGUACCGUCCCCUUGCCGUGGAUGUUCACCACCGAGCCAUCUCCGAACUUAACUGUUCCGGAGAUGCUGGUGUCGAGCUCGGCGAAGACAUUCCGGGCGCCCGUCAUGUGGUUCGUCGCACCAGUGUCGAGCACCCAUCGAUGGGGUUGAGUGGCCUCCUCCUGCUCCUCACUGAGGUGAAGGAGGACCUUGGGUUCAGUGAGGUGAACCCGUGUCUUCGACUCCGGGGCGGCUGGCGCCAAUGGUGGCCUGCGAGGACAGCACGGCACGGGCGACGCGAUUACCUCUGGAUCCGCCGCGAUGUACAUCAGCGCGUGCUCCUCUUCCCCGGCUUGUGAGACGUGCGCCGCACCCUUCUUCUUGCUGCGGCACUCAUUGGUCUAGUGACCAGUUUUGCCGUAGGACUGGCAGUGGUAGCCGGGGGGCGACUUCUUGCCGCCAGGUUUGGCCGCCUGCGCGCUCUGGACAUCGCGGCCAUCACGCGACGAAGAGCCUGCGCCGCCGCGGCCGCAUCCGCGCCCACGCUGUCUGCCGCGGGCACCGGAUCCCGAUCCGCCGGAGCUCUCCUGCUCACGGCGCGACUUGUGGCGUGCCUCCCAAUCCUCUUCACAAAGCAUCGGGCGGCCCAGCGAGUCAGUGACUUCCUCCGGCUUGAGUCGCUCCUCGAACACCCUCAGCCGCCCGAUCACCUCCUCGAUGGAGACCCUGUUCAGGUCGAGAAACAUCUCGAGAGAGACGGCGGCCUGCGUGAGCUUCUCUGGAACAACCUGCAUAAGUUUUUUGACUACCUCUGCAUCCUGAAUGUUGUCGCCGAGGGAGCGCAGGUUGGCAGCGAGUGUGGAGAUACAGACAUCGAAGUCGCUGACGGUUUCCCCCUCCUUGAAGGAGAGAGAGCUGAACUCCCGACGCAGCUGCUGCGCGCUGGCGUCGCGCGCGCUCUUCGCCGAUCCGCAGAUGCUUGACCGCAUCUCAGGCCUGCUUCACCGUGUCCUUCCUGGCCAGCGUGUUCCAGAGCUCGGACGACACCGAGCGUAGUAGACUGGCCAUCGCCUGGCGGUCGUCAUGAUACUCGUCGUCGUCAGCGUCGUCGGAGAGGCCGUCCUGGACGACGUCCCAUACUCGCAGCGUCUGGAAGUUUACUUCCAUGACCAAUGCCCACUCCGGGUAGUUCGUCCGGGUUAGCAUCGGCCAUGCAACAUGUGCAGACGAGCGCUUGACGAUUCGCUCGACAACUCUGGAGCCAGAGCGACGACGACUGUCGGAGCGCCCACGGCAACGUCGCGGCGAGUGCGACGGAUGGACCUUGUUCUCGAUGUUGCUGUCUUCGGGCUUCUCGGUCUUUGCCGGAGACUUAGAAGACAUGGCUAACUACGAGAUCAGGCUCUGGUACCAAAUGUUAGAGCACUGAUCUGACAGUGGAAGGCACACAGGUUUUGGGCUGCAAUGAGGCAGCUUUUCCUCUGAUUAUAGUUCACUAUAUAUAGCUGAUUACAUAGCUAUCUAAGGCAAUAAGCCAAUCACUAAACUAGGCAACAGUAAACUAGGCAAUAGUAAACUAGGCAAUAGCCUAAUAAGGCAUGCUCGUGAUUGAGGGUUGUCAUCCCAACUCCCUGGGCCAUGCCGUGUACUAGAGCAGAAUAGGAAGGUACAAAAUAGGAAAGUACAGCUCACGGCUUACUGCUAACAACAUCCAACCU